rnacentral:rRNA from 1 species
GAUGAACGCUGGCGGCGUGCCUAAUACAUGCAAGUCGAGCGGAAACACUUCGGGUGUCGAGCGGCGGACGGCUGAGUAACGCGUAGGAAUCUACCCCAGACUGAGGAAUAAGCUCCAGAAAUGGAGUCUAAUACCGCAUAACCUCUUCGGAGAAAAGCUUCGGCGGUUUGGGAAGAGCCUGCGUCUGAUUAGCUUGUUGGUGAGGUAAUAGCUCACCAAGGCAAUGAUCGGUAGCUGGUCUGAGAGGAUGAUCAGCCAGACUGGGACUGAGACACGGCCCAGACUCCUACGGGAGGCUG